rnacentral:rRNA from 1 species
UCCAGACUCCUACGGGAGGCAGCAGUGGGGAAUUUUGGACAAUGGGCGCAAGCCUGAUCCAGCUAUUCCGCGUGUGGGAUGACGGCCCUCGGGUUGUAAACCACUUUAGUAGAGAACGAAAAGGAGCUAUCGAAUAAAUAGCUCUGCUGACGGUACUCUAAGAAUAAGCACCGGCUAACUACGUGCCAGCAGCCGCGGUAAUACGGAGGAUGCGAGCGUUAUCCGGAUUUAUUGGGUUUAAAGGGUGCGUAGGCGGGCUGUUAAGUCAGCGGUCAAAUGUCGGGGCUCACCCCCGGCCUGCCGUUGAAACUGGCGGCCUCGAGUGGGCGAGAAGUAUGCGGAAUGCGUGGUGUAGCGGUGAAAUGCAUAGAUAUCACGCAGAACUCCGAUUGCGAAGGCAGCAUACCGGCGCCCGACUGACGCUGAGGCACGAAAGCGUGGGUAUCGAACAGGAUUAGAUACCCUCGUACG